rnacentral:rRNA from 1 species
GGACUACAGGGGUAUCUAAUCCUGUUUGCUCCCCACGCUUUCGCGCCUCAGCGUCAGUAACGGGCCAGUGAGUCGCCUUCGCCACUGGUGUUCUUCCGAAUAUCUACGAAUUUCACCUCUACACUCGGAGUUCCACUCACCUCUCCCGUACUCUAGACGUCCAGUAUCAAAGGCAAUUCCAAGGUUGAGCCCUGGGCUUUCACCUCUGACUUAAUCGUCCGCCUACGCGCCCUUUACGCCCAGUAAAUCCGAGCAACGCUAGCCCCCUUCGUAUUACCGCGGCUGCUGGCAC